rnacentral:rRNA from 1 species
AUUGAACGCUGGCGGCAGGCCUAACACAUGCAAGUCGAGCGGGAACUUCGGUUCUAGCGGCGGACGGGUGAGUAAUGCGUAGGAAGCUACCCGACAGAGGGGGAUACCAGUUGGAAACGACUGUCAAUACCGCAUAAUGUCUACGGACCAAAGUGUGGGACCUUCGGGCCACAUGCUGUCGGAUGCGCCUACGUGGGAUUAGCUAGUUGGUGAGGUAAUGGCUCACCAAGGCGACGAUCCCUAGCUGGUUUGAGAGGAUGAUCAGCCACACUGGAACUGAGACACGGUCCAGACUCCUACGGGAGGCAGCAGUGGGGAACAUUGGACAAUGGGCGAAAGCCUGAUCCAGCCAUGCCGCGUGUGUGAAGAAGGCCUUCGGGUUGUAAAGCACUUUCAGUAGGGAGGAAGAGUUGAGUGUUAAUAGUACUCAGCUUUGACGUUACCUACAGAAGAAGCACCGGCUAACUCUGUGCCAGCAGCCGCGGUAACAC